AGGAAGGAAGGAAGGAAGGAAGGAAGGAAGGAAGGAAGGAAGGAAGGAAGGAAGGAAGGAAGGAAGGAAGGAAGGAAGGAAGGAAGGAAGGAAGGAAGGAAGGAAGGCGAGGGAAAAAGAUGAGAGAGAACAGUAGGAGAAAGGGGAUACAUAGAGUUGAUACUGGUGGAAGUAGUUGAUAGUGUACACAGAGUCAUAGAGAGAUGGAGAAAAAAAGGAGAGUGAGAGAGAGAAAUGAGGGAGAGAGAAAAACAAAGGUUCAUGAGUUGAUGGGAAGGAGGGUGAAGGGAGCUGUAUCCAUGUGUUAGUGUGUCUCUGGAGGCCCAUGAUGCCAUGCUGUGCAGUCCCGUACCUCUAUCUCCCUCCCUCCCUCUUUUCCCACCUCCUAUUUUUAGACCCCAGCCCAGCCAUGAAUCAAAGCAAUGAAUCAAAGCUUAUCAAAGAGGUGCAGGAUCUGGGAUGCAAAAGAGCCCUGUAUUCCACACCUCAUCAACUACGAAGACACACACACAGGUAAAGGAUACACACACAUAAACAAUCAUGUUCACAAACACACAAAAGACGCGCACACAAACAUACAAAACACUAGCUUUGACUCCCAUCCCAUCCCAUGACCAAGCAGUGCCUCAGAGUGAAGCGUCACAUUUUUUUUACACUUCCUCUAUACACAUAUUCUUGUACAGCUAAUCUAAUCUAUUUUUAGCCCAUAUGACUUCCAAAUGAUCAGGUUUGAAGGGCCAUUCAAUUCCCUCAAGCUCUAGUUUAACUGCUUACGCAAACCCAGAAAACGACUUUCUCUGUCUAGUGAAUAGCAUAAUAAAAUACAACCUGUCAUCGCUGUCGGAAGAAAUCCUUAAAACUCCACAUUUGUUUUUCAUUUUUAGUUUUAGAUCAAAACACAUGGAGACAUCUAUGAAGUCUCAUCUAGGAUAGAGCGAAAGGACCAUUCCACACGUUGUCAUAGACGUUCCACAUACAGUACAUCCAUGACAUAGAAAAGUGGAAUAUGUUUCAUGUGUCCCAAAAUGAACUAUUAUCCUAAGCAUUGCAUGCUGGGCCUCUGUGGAGAAAUUCUAAUGACCAUAACCCAAGAAUGUGAAUAAUUUAAAUGAAUAAUAUGGCGUCUUAGGAUCUGGUCCAAUCGUUUUUAUACAAAGCUUUGAUAGACUGUAUAUGUAUGCCAGUGCAUUAUAUAACAACAGAACAAGUUAUAAAUAGUUAAGGGCUUUUUGAACUGAAAUAAAGCAAAACACGAUCCAUCAAAGAGAUUUCAUGAAAGUUUAAAGCACGGCUGGGGAAUUGAUUCUAGGACGUGAUGGAUAUCACCGCCGUGCAAAAAAGACACACACACGCACGUACUCAUGUACGUAUACACACACACACCCACACACAUUGAUGGAGUGAGACAUUGUGUGUGUGUGUGUGUUUGUGUGUGCUUAUUGAAAGAAAGCGUCAGGUAGCCUGGCGGGUAGGAGCAUAGGCCGGUAAUCGAAAGGUUGCUGGAUCGAAUCCCAGAGUGGACAAAGUAUAAAUCUGUCAUUCUGUGCCAGGCAGAUAACUCCCAACAACUGCUCCCCGGGUGCCGUGCAUGUUGAUCAAGACAGACCCAAGCACCGCUCUGCUUCAGAGAGGGUUAAAUGCAGAAGACACAUUUCAGUUGAACGCAUUCAGUUGUACAACUCACUAGGUAUCCCCCUUUUGCCAGAUUACUGUGAUCAAUUCCGAAGUCAAUGGAGACAGGUAAACAUCACCUUGAAAGGACAGGGUGUGUGAUGGAGGCAUGGGAGAAAGAUGGGAUUCACACCCUGUCUGAUCUGACACAAUGCACCAUGGAGGGGGGAUCAAAAAGUGUAUGUGUGUACGAGUGAGUGAGUGCAUGUGUGUGACAAAGACUCAGAGACGGGUAAUUAAGCACCUCUCUUCCCUCACACGGGCAAGUGAAAAUGGACUAUGAACCAGACAGUUCAGAGACUAAAACUGUGGUUUACAAUUUCUAAUGGAAUGUGCUUCCUCUUUCCCAUUGCCUAUAAUGCACUGUACUUGUUAUGACUGUCUGUGUGCAUUUGAUGAGUACUUUAUAGUGUGUUACAGAGAACAGUUGAUUCCAUUAUACCUCUCAUAGCCUCAGAGUGAAGAGAUGUGAUCUCUUCAUGAAUUCAGAUGAAAGGAGGAGAGGAGUGAGGAAGGGAGGGGAGGAGAGAGGAAGGGAGUCUUUCACAGGGGCUUUGGAGGGAAUUACUGGCUCAAGUGGAGAUAUCUCAUCAACAAACUUCCUUCGUCUCUAAAAUAAAAAAGCUGAGUGCCAGUGAAACGGGGACAAUUGUCAACAUCAGCACUGUGACCAUGCAGAAGAACGGGAAAUGUCAACAUCAGCACUGUGACCAUGCAGAAGAACGGGAAAUGUCAACAUCAGCACUGUGACCAUGCAGAAGAACGGGAAAUGUCAACAUCAGCACCUUGACCAUGCAGAAGAACGGGAAAUGUCAACAUCAGCACUGUGACCAUGCAGAAGAACGGGAAAUGUCAACAUCAGCACUGUGACCAUGCAGAAGAACGGGAAAUGUCAACAUCAGCACUGUGACCAUGCAGAAGAACGGGAAAUGUCAACAUCAGCACUGUGACCAUGCAGAAGAACGGGAAAUGACGGUGACCCGGUUGACUAUUUGCAUAUAGUAGCCGUUUGCAUACUCGUACACAGAUUACGUUGGCUUUCCGUUGCAUGUAUAAGAACUCUGACACUUCAUCAAAGAUUUAACACACCGCCUCGACACUUACAUCACAAGAAAGAGAAGAAAGGUAACUUUAUUUUCAUGAGUGUUACAUUUUUUCUAGAAUUAAAAAUAGUAAUAAUUAAUACAGUUGAAAUGUUUACAAAUUAGAUGCGCUGAAGUGAAAUCAACUUCUGAAAAUGAACACUUGGAUUAUAGUGAUAUUAUAUCUGAUCUCGCAAACCAUGUAAAGUAUGUUUUGAUAAAAGUAAUCUAGAUAAGCGUGUACAUUUUUAUUUCGAGGAUAUACUGCUAUUGACACACUUGUUGAAUUAUGCAGCAGAACAUGACAACAACAGUAAUUAAUGAGGCAGUCUAGACAGUGCUGGUGAGUACAGGUAGGGUAGACAGUGCUGGUGAGUACAGGUAGGGUAGACAGUGCAGGUGAGUACAGGUAGGGUAGACAGAGCAGGUGAGUACAGGUAGGGUAGACAGUGCAGGUGAGUACAGGUAGGGUAGACAGUGCAGGUGAGUGCAGGUAGGGUAGACAGUGCAGGUGAGUACAGGUAGGGUAGACAGAGCAGGUGAGUACAGGUAGGGUAGACAGUGCAGGUGAGUACAGGAAGGGUAGACAGAGCAGGUAGAUUACAGGUAUUGUAGACAGUGCAGGUGAGUGCAGGUAGGGUAGACAGUGCAGGUGAGUGCAGGUAGGGUAGACAGUGCAGGUGAGUGCAGGUAGGGUAGACAGUGCAGGUGAGUACAGGUAGGGUAGACAGUGCAGGUGAGUACAGGUAGGGUAGACAGUGCAGGUGAGUGCAGGUAGGGUAGACAGUGCAGGU